GGGGAAUAUUGGACAAUGGGCGAAAGCCUGAUCCAGCCAUGCCGCGUGUGUGAAGAAGGUCUUCGGAUUGUAAAGCACUUUAAGUUGGGAGGAAGGGCAGUAAGUUAAUACCUUGCUGUUUUGACGUUACCAACAGAAUAAGCACCGGCUAACUUCGUGCCAGCAGCCGCGGUAAU
rnacentral:rRNA from 1 species